ACUUAUCAUGAUCAUUCUGCAAUUAUUUGAGUUUUUAUUAUUGCAGUAGUAUACUAGACAUAAAAUACUACACCCAUGAUUUUGAAAGGAGAGUAGAUAACUACUGGAAUAAAAAUUUCUUAGGUUAUGAGCAAGCUUUGCCCUGAAAGAGUUAGGGAUAUGAAUUAGGUGACAAAGCAGAAGAGGAUAAAUAGUUCUCUGGUUUGUUAUUAGACAAAAUGAAUUUCAUAGAAGAUGUCUGAUUUCUAAGAAUAGAGGUAAUCCUAUUUAUGAAGAAGAAGAUAUGGCCUGAGAUCAAGGGUAGCGAUGAAUGACCUAACAGCCUGGUCAGGGACCUAGAAGAAGAAACAUUGAAAGAUUGCUGACAAGCAGGCUAGGUGCUGAUGGACAUAUGGGUGAGGGUCCUGCCGAAAGCUCCACCCACUGGGAGAAUUUUCUCUUACCACUGCCUUUAAAGGCUACUCCUAGUGAGGCUACAGGGCAGUUGGCCAUCCAUUUUCAGUUUCCACCUACAUAUCCAGCCAACCCAUCCAGAAGCCAAGACCACAUUUUUUUCUCUGUCAGUCAGUCAUAGGUUAUUAACCAAAGGAGGGACACUGGUCCAACAUUAAUACUGAUGAAUGACAUGGCAGUCUGGGCUCUCUGCUGAUGCAGCUUGCCUUCUGAUACUGCUAAAGUUAUCUGGAUGUACUGCUUCCACAUGAUGAUGGUUUGCUGCUGCACCCAACCAACUUCAUGACAUGAUGGCUCUAAUAGACUCCAGCUCAUGAUGGGCAUUUAUGGAUACAUGAUCAAUCAAGUGGAAUACCAUGGUCAGGGGCUCCUCCACCAGAGCAUGCCAUGAAUUGUUUUUCAAAAGGCAAAUUUUAUGGCCUUGCUCCAAAACCUCAGAAACCACAUGUGAUUCCCCUAUACAUGGGCUUGCCACAAGCUCCACUGGUCAUGUUACUUAUCAUCAAUACUUCUAAUAUUAUAGGGCCUUCCAGGUUGUAUGGCCAGAGCAGCAUUAUUGCUUAUACCACAAUCUAGACCUGUGGCAGAGUUCUUGUGUGCCCCAAGUGCCACCAAAGCUAGCAACCAUUAGUGUCAGCCAUAUGGGCCACAGCAGUAUUCCCAGAUGUGGGAUAAUGGAAUAUACUGCUCCAUAACUCAGAGAUACCAACCAAGUGUUAAACUUCCUUUUCUGUUGUGGGGAGUGCAAGAUGUGAUCAUUUGUCUUUUAUUUUGGAGUGGAUAUCUGGCAUGCCUCUGUCCACAGAAACCCCCAAAAUUUUACUAAUGAGAAGUCCCUGAAUCUCUCUGGAGCACAAUGUGUCUACCAAGGGGCAGGGUCAGAUUUCCUGGCUACUAGUUUGAAAUUUCCACUUGUUACAAUGAUUUCAUCUACCUGGAUUUUGACAUUUAAGUGCUACCACUUGGCCUUUAUUUAGAUCCAGUCACCACCACCACCGCCACCCCCCGUGAUAUCUUGAGCCUAUUAGUAAGGGCCUUUCCUACUCUCAGCCCUAGGUUAUAGAAGAGACCUACCACUGAACUUUUAGUGAUUCUGGUGCUCAAAGCAGAACAGUUUAUAACUUUGGUUAAUGGUAUAUUUUGCAGGCCUUUGAUGGUGGGGCUUUUGGCCUUACAAAGUGUAUUUACUCCAGCAUGCUGGCUUCCAUGGGUUUUUAAAUCCCUUGGUCUACUGUUUGCUAUGGUGUUCUGGUAUUUCAACUUAGCAUGGGCAUUGCUUUUUCCACGUCUCUAGGAGUCAUCUCCAUAGUGAAUACACCAUCACCUGUAGUCCUCACCAAGCUGAUUAACCCAAUAUCCCUAGAAAGUUCGCAAGUUAAUAAACUCACCCUGCCCUAUCAUAUAUUCUGGUCCCCUUGAUUAAGCACUCUCAGAUUUCAGACCCACAGAUUCUCCUCCAGUACACAAUGUCUAGGUCUUCACAUAUUCUUUAGGAUAUUAGGCCUUAUUAGCACCAGCAUAUUCCUGAGUUCUUCUGUGACUUAACCUUAAUUAUAUGCCUAGUGGCCAUAAAAAUGUAAGGUCAGAUUCUGGAGGGGGGGCAAAUGAUGUUUUGUGGAGAGAGGACUCUGCAUUGCCUUCAAGUAAGAGGGGUGGGCAGGCUAGCUCUUUAAGAGAAAGGGUCCACUUACUUUAGCAUUUUCAGAGAGUUCAGAAGAUUCAAGUGGUUCCAAAUGUACAGGGUCAUCCACCCAAAUGUUCUCUUCCCAAAUGUUAGGAUCCCAUUCUUCCCCAACCAGACCCUGAUCUUAUCAUAAUUAACCUGCCUUGAUUGGGCAUUUAAUCUUAUCUGGAGUUCUACCACUCCAUUAACUCCUGAUCCUCAGUAUUUCCUCUGCUUCCCUGCAGGAGAGUGUUUUCGUAAGCUACCAGGAAGGUCUGUUGGCUUUCACACUUGGAGUUUCAUUGUGAAUAUCUUUUUCUAGGGUAGCAGUGGGCUUGACAAUAGCCAUCCAUUCUCAUUGUCCUAAUAAUUAGUUUCCCCAGUACUUCUCAAAGGUCUGAUUCUUUAUGCAAGGAAUAUUUUCCUACCCCAGGGGUAUACUCUCAUACCUCACCAACAAAGAGAAUUUUAGUAAUUGGGCAUACACCUUCUGCCCAGGAUGUCUGUGUUCCCCUUACCAAUGACAGGGUCCUCAUUGCAAGCUGGGCUGGAAAUGAUUCAUCUCUCAAAUCCCAAUAUUUCACCUAAUUUCUCCUACCCCUCCCAUUGCCAGCUGGCAAAGGUUAUUUCUUCCAAAAGCAAAUGUUUAAAUAGAAAUCGGUAUGCAAGCUGUUCAUUAACUAUCAACACCUGUGGAAAGGAGGAACAUGAGCCUGUCUUUAUUUGAAAUUUUGAUGUUCAUCAUCUCUCCUUACCCUGGUCCCUUUUCUGGGGAAAGAAAACCAACUUUGUCAGAGGGAGAAGCAGAACUGUAAAGACUUGUUCAUACUCCCGCCACAAUCAGUCAUGGGAUAUAGGCCAUUAUCUUGGGUGUGCUCUUGGCCCAGGUAAUGCUCUGCAGCUGAGGCAGAUGCUAAAAGAAGCAGACAGCUGCAGGCUGUUAGCAGAUUGCACGCUCAGGAGCCAAGACAAGUCCUUUUUGGAAGGCCGAUGUGGGCAAUGCAUCUCCAGUUUACUGUAGGCAUAGAGAAAAUUACUGAAUUAAAGAGACGUUUAGAAGGUGACUGAUAAGAAAAAGGAGGAAAUAGAAGUCUAAACAAACUUUUUUCUGUGGUAGCUAUUACUUGUGCUCAGAGAUAUCUGGUUCCUUUCUGGCCAUUUACUACACUUCCUAGCCCCUUUGUGGUUAGGUUGAGCUCUGUGACUAGUUCAGACUAAGGAAACGUAAGAAAAAGUGAAGGCUGUCACUUCCUGCUAGAGACUGUGAAAAGCUCCUCCGCUGUCCAGCCUCUCUUCUGCAGCCACAGUACUUGAACCACAGAAAAUUUGUUCUAGGUGGUACAGCAACAAAAGAGUGGAGCGUCCAACAGCUCGAACCCUGAGGUUAAAGGAGAAUGUCGUAAGAGACCAGAGCAAGAAGAUGAUGAAGGCUGGAAGCUGACUUAGCAAAGCUGGCGACAGGCAAAGCCACGAAGCAAUUCAAUUGAUACAGUGAGCACCCAAAAGGCCCAGAGAAUGAUACUAAGCCCGUGGUGCAAUCAGACUACACUACCGCAGAUUCAUCAGACAUCAUGCUAUAAAAACCUCAGAGUUCACAGAGCUUAAUCUUUUCUUAUACGCAUGAAAAAAAUUAAAAGAAAGCGGAGAUCAACAGACUAGAAGCUUUUUCCAACAUCGUACAGUCUGUAAGUGGCAAAGUUUAGAAUAAAAUCGAGAUCUAGUGAUAUCAAUUCCAGUUUGACUAUUUGGAUUUUUUCAAAUGCCUUUUGUUUCAUU